AACGAACGCUGGCGGCAGGCCUAACACAUGCAAGUCGAACGCCCGCAAGGGGAGUGGCAGACGGGUGAGUAACGCGUGGGAACGUGCCCUUCGGUUCGGAAUAACUCAGGGAAACUUGAGCUAAUACCGGAUACGUCCGUAAGGAGAAAGAUUUAUCGCCGAAGGAUCGGCCCGCGUCGGAUUAGCUAGUUGGUGAGGUAACGGCCCACCAAGGCGACGAUCCGUAGCUGGUCUGAGAGGAUGANCAGCCACACUGGGACUGAGACACGGCCCAGACUCCUACGGGAGGCAGCAGUGGGGAAUAUUGGACAAUGGGCGAAAGCCUGAUCCAGCCAUGCCGCGUGAGUGAAGAAGGCCUUAGGGUUGUAAAGCUCUUUCAGCGGGAAGAUAAUGACGGUACCCGCAGAAGAAGCCCCGGCUAACUUCGUGCCAGCCGCCGCGGUAAG
rnacentral:rRNA from 1 species